rnacentral:tRNA from 1 species
GAGAACUUAGUUAAUUCAUAAUAUCACUUUGUCAAGGUGACGUAAUGGGUUAAACUCCCAUAUUUCUCU